GACGAACGCUGGCGGCGUGCUUAACACAUGCAAGUCGAACGGAAAGGCCCUGCUUUUGUGGGGUGCUCGAGUGGCGAACGGGUGAGUAACACGUGAGUAACCUGCCCUUGACUUUGGGAUAACUUCAGGAAACUGGGGCUAAUACCGGAUAGGAGCUCCUGCUGCAUGGUGGGGGUUGGAAAGUUUCGGCGGUUGGGGAUGGACUCGCGGCUUAUCAGCUUGUUGGUGGGGUAGUGGCUUACCAAGGCUUUGAAGGGUAGCCGGCCUGAGAGGGUGACCGGGCCCAAUGGGACUGAGGUACGGCCCAGACUGCUACGGGGGGCAGGAGGGGGGAAUAUUGCACAAUGGGCGGAAGCCUGAUGCAGCAACGCCGCGUGCGGGAUGACGGCCUUCGGGUUGUAAACCGCUUUCGCCUGUGACGAAGCGUGAGUGACGGUAAUGGGUAAAGAAGCACCGGCUAACUACGUG
rnacentral:rRNA from 1 species